GAUGAACGCUGGCGGCGUGCCUAAUACAUGCAAGUCGAGCGAACAGAUGAGGAGCUUGCUCCUCUGACGUUAGCGGCGGACGGGUGAGUAACACGUGGAUAACCUACCUAUAAGCCUGGGAUAACUUCGGGAAACCGGAGCUAAUACCGGAUAAUAUAUUGAACCGCAUGGUUCAAUAGUGAAAGACGGUUUUGCUGUCACUUAUAGAUGGAUCCACGCCGCAUUAGCUAGUUGGUAAGGUAACGGCUUACCAAGGCAACGAUGCGUAGCCGACAUGAGAGGGGGAUCGGCCACACUGGAACUGGGACACGGUCCAGACUCCUACGGGAGGCAGCAGUAGGGAAUCUUCCGCAAUGGGCGAAAGCCUGACGGAGCAGCGCCGCGUGAGUGAUGAAGGUCUUCGGAUCGUAAAACUCUGUUAUUAGGGAAGAACAAAUGUGUAAGUAACUAUGCACGUCUUGACGGUACCUAAUCAGAAAGCCACGGCUAACUACGUG
rnacentral:rRNA from 1 species